CUCUCCUAGCACACGUGUCACAGUUGGUAGAUCACAAGAAAAUCAUUAUUCCAGAACUUAACCUGGAGCAGGCUGAGCAAACCAGCCCAUUCAGACCAAUGGCUCUACCCUCUGGAAGGGACAAGGGCUGUGUUAUAAAGCCACCCCAGUGUCCUCUCAAAUCCAGAUCUGUCACUGUCAUAUUUUCUGGGAAAAUCUCCUUGCCCAAGAUUUCUCUCCUGGGAAGCUGAGAAGUCUCAGAGAAAAAGGAAAACAAUAAUUAUCUGAUUUGCUUCUCCUGUGUGUUGCUGCUGUGGAAUGUGGUUUGGACAUUAUUUACCAACAGGGUCUCAGAAAAUGCAAGGCAGGUGUUGUGUGCCAGAUGUCAUUCAAGGCCCAGAAAAGCCCAGCAGAACCCCUCGAGUUGCCAUUCUCAUGGCUGGUCUCUCCCCACAGUGGAGUUUGUGGUGACAGAAUUAAUGUGGUUCUAAAGGUGAGUUCUCAAUUUCAAAAAAAAAAAAAAAAAAGGAAAGAAGGAGUAGUGGUA